rnacentral:tRNA from 1 species
GCACUCUUAGCUCAGUUGGUAGAGCAUCUGACUCUUAAUCAGCAGGUCGCCGGUUCGAUCCCGGCAGGGUGCA